rnacentral:rRNA from 1 species
AGAAUCAACGCUGGCGGCGUUCCUAACACAUGCAAGUCGAACGAGAAAGGGUAGCAAUACCUGAGUAAAGUGGCGCACGGGUGAGUAACACGUGACUAACCUACCUUUUAGUGGGGGAUAACCUAGGGAAACCUGGGCUAAUACCGCAUAAUACCUACGGGUCAAAGCAGCAAUGCGCUGAAUGAGGGGGUCGCGGUCGAUUAGUUAGUUGGCAGGGUAAUGGCCUACCAAGACUGUGAUCGAUAUCCGGCCUGAGAGGGCGCACGGACACACUGGAACUGAAACACGGUCCAGACUCCUACGGGAGGCAGCAGUGGGAAUUUUGCGCAAUGGGGGAAACCCUGACGCAGCAACGCCGCGUGGAGGAUGAAGUCCCUUGGGACGUAAACUCCUUUCGAUCGGGACGAUAAUGACGGUACCGGAAGAAGAAGCCCCGGCUAACUUCGCGCCAGCAGCCGC